GAGGAUUCAUAGUUGGAACAAUAUUUCCCCCGUUCUAAAUCACCAAAAGAUAAUCAAGGAUGAAGGAAAAACGUGAAAAAGUUUGAAACUGUAAAAGAAAAGAAUCGCCAAAAUUUUUGGAAUUUUACUUUUGUCGCCUUUGAAUUUCUAUGGCAUUAUAACUUUGCAAAGAAGGCGUGGAAAUGGAUUUCAGCUCAUAGAAGAAUUAAGUUGUUUGAUCAAGAUGAAUGUAGCUGGAAUCCUCUGAAUGUGGGAGAAAUUCUUUUAUGUGGUGAUGAUGCGUCUAGGGAAAACCCGGGUGUAGACGGUGCGGUGUGUGAUAACGCGUGAUAGUGAUUGCGAUGUGCUUGGGGCUGGGUACAACAACUAAUUACCUUGUGGAGUUGUAUGCAGUAUUGCUGGUUUGGAAUGGGCAUCAAAGUGGGGUGUUAGAAGAAUCUUGGUUCGUUCAGAUUCAAAAAGUGCUAUAAUUGUAUUUUCACGAAACAUGGUUCCUUGGUAUGUUCGUCAGAUAUGGAUUGGUGUUUGUUCUCUUUGUGACACUAUUAGUUAUGAACAUACCUUCCGUGAAGCUAAUUUUUCAGCGGAUGAUGGCGAAAAAAGGUUGUUUUUUUCCUAAGGGGGAAGGGAGUAAUUUUGAAGGAAGGCCAGAUUUCUUAUUUUCAGUUGAAUAUCCUAAUUAUUUUCAGUUAAAUUUGACAUUGCCUAUGAUCAAUUUUUAGAUGCCUAAUAUCAUAGGCUUG